GGAACCUGCUCGGACAUAGUCAUUCGUGCCGAAGAAAUUACUCGUCUGAAGAGAAGACUCAACGAAAUUUAUGUUCACCACACGGGAAUGAGUUAUGAUGAAAUUGAGAAAACCCUUGACCGUGAUCGUUUCAUGAGCGCCCACGAAGCUCUCAAGUUCGGAUUGGUCGACCAAAUCGAGACUCACAACGGAUCAAUGCCAUCAGAUUAA
rnacentral:misc_RNA from 1 species